rnacentral:rRNA from 1 species
UACGAAGGGGGCGAGCGUUGUUCGGAUUUACUGGGCGUAAAGGGCGCGCAGGCGGCCUUGCAAGUCAGGCGUGAAAGCCCCGGGCUCAACCUGGGAAUUGCAUUUGAGACUGCGUAGCUAGGGUGCGGAAGAGGGAAGCGGAAUUUCCGGUGUAGCGGUGAAAUGCGUAGAUAUCGGAAGGAACACCAGUGGCGAAAGCGGCUUCCUGGUCCAGCACCGACGUUCAGGCACGAAAGCGUGGGGAGCAAACAGG